UAAUUUACACAAACGAUUUACCUAUAAUAAGAGGGAUUACUGUCUCAGUUAAGAGAAAGACGUUUUCACCAGUAACAUCACUUGACGGAAACAGUAAAUAUUAUUGUAUAACACUUCAUCAUGUUGACCUUUGUAGCUACCAUAAGUGUGUGUAUCUUGUCUGCCGUACAGGGAUUCCCAAGUGGCCCACUUCCAACUGCUUGUAGUGAUUUGUUUCCCACUGGCCAUGCUGUUAAUGCUCAAACCGGCCUUUCCGGUUUCGCAAUAACCACGAAUCAAGCUACUUAUACUCCAGGUGGCACUGUUACAGUGAAUUUGCUUGGUUUGGGUAAUGCUUUUGAUGGUGUUAUGGUACAAGCUAGAAGAGCUACCACUAAUUGUUCUAGUGGCAUAAAUAGUGUACCUGUUGGUACAUUUACCAUACCAGCUGGAGACACAUUCUUACAACUGAUGUCAUGUGGUGGUGUUGUCAGUAAUACAGUUGCUCAAAAAACGAAAUUAGUUGUUACCAGUAAAACUGUAACAUGGACAGCUCCUACCAUAUCAGUUGGUCAAAUAUAUUUUAGGGGAACCUUUAUCAAAAACACCAAGACAUUCUGGACAAAUGUAGCUUCGUCUAUUGUCAAGCCACUUGGUGAUGCUACUGCCGCCCUUCCUGUUUGUGCUGUCAGAACUGUUCUCUAAUAAUCCAAGCUUAACCAAUUUCAUGAUCACAAAAUGUUAAACAUAAUACAAACACCACAAAAUUUCAGGUUAAAAAAUCAGAUUUUGUGGUGAGUGGUGAAAAAGGAGCACACCUACUCAUCUAUUACAAGUGUGAAGAUACAACACCCUUUACACAUUUAGGGCCCUAAAAUAAAAACACCUAUUUACCCGAGAGGUACAAAUCAUGAAUAGAUAUGAUCGAUAUGUUCGAUCCCUAUUUUAGCUAACAUCUCACUUUAGACAUCUUUAAUUUUUUAUGGUUAAUUCUUCAUGAAAUUUAAAUAUGAAAAUAUAAAGGCAUUAACAAUUUCUGAUCCGUGGUAUGCAUGUUCUUUGGACAAUUGCGCAUCGAUUGACGGACUUCGAUUUUUGACAUGACGUUACAAUUCAAAGAUGGUGGCGAUGACGUCAUGUUUAACAAAGUGAGCGUUUAGUUAUAAUAGCCUUUGAGCAUUCAGCCCAUUACAUACACAUAUAAGUAAUAUACUGACAUAAUGUUAAACGCCAUUCAUUAAUUGAUCACCCACUGAUAAAUAUCAUGCCAUCUGUAUGAUUUAGUAAUAAAUUCAUUCAUGUAAAAA